CCCAAAGAAUAAGUGUUUUUGUUCUUGUCCGAGGGUGGCAAGCAAUCUAAGUAGAGCUCAUUUUUAACUUUUGUUAAAACGUUUAAUUUUGUUAUGUAUUGAGCAAAGGAGACGAUUUGCAUGGAUGGAAAUGACCGAAACGCAUUUACGAACAAGUGGUUCAACAUAUCUCAACGAGUUGGAUGUCCUUGAAGUCAAUAGAUGCAUGCUGACAAUAAAGGUGCAAAAUAUAGAAAUAGAAUGACAGAUUCUAUUUCUGUGGUGCCAAGAUCCAUGGAUCCCUCUCAGCUCUGCUGCAAUUGGUUUACUGGUGGUUCAGCAUCUCAUCGAGUAAGAUGUCCUUGAUGAAGUCUCAUGAUGGGGGCCAUUGAGACGAGAUGCAUGAUGACAAUGAAGCGGCAAAGCAUAUAAAUAGUAUCACAUAGAUUCUAUUUCUGUGGCGCCAAGAUCCAUGGAUCCCUCUCACCUCUGCUUUAAUUGGUCUACUGGAUGGGAACGAUAUCUGAACAAGUCAAUGUCCUUGAAGUCACAUGAUGGGGGCCAUUGAGAUGAGAUGCAUGAUGACAAUGAAGGGGCAAAGCAUAUAAAUAGUAUCACAUAGAUUCUAUUUCUGUGGCGCCAAGAUCCAUGGAUCCCUCUCACCUCUGCUGUAAUUGGCCAACCUGGAGGUGAUGCCCCGUGCUCUGCUGUGCCCCUCAUCAGCCCAGUGGGUUCUGACUCGUCAGUUGAUGAACUUCCUCUCUUGUUAGGUUUCGUACCACAUCCUGGUUCCAAGACUUGUCCUGAUGGAGUGAAGGAGCAGAAUCGGACUAACCGUUGAUGUUUUGACUGAUGUAUUUUCAUAGAAAUAGAUUAAAUGGUAUCUAAAGGGGUGUAUUGUCAUCAGGAGAACCAUUGUCAAAGAUUCAGUGAAGUAUGUUAUUAUCCACUUCCUCAAGGAGAAGGUAGCAAGCAACAAAUGCUACAACCAUGAAAAAUGUGUUCAUGACAGAAUGUUAUUGCAAUGACCUUGCAGAGGGUUCUGUAACAACUUGACUCUCAGCCAAGACCAUAUCACAUUUGUAUGAAUGUAUUUCUGGAACAUGCUGUUCUCUUGGUGGAGUAAACUGUGGCAUGAUGUCAGAACUGUAGUUUGGCCAUGAUUCAUCAAUAAAACUAAACAAAUUCAUUGUA